AAUGAACGCUGGCGGCGUGCCUAACACAUGCAAGUCGAGCGCGAAAAGGGGGGCAACUCCCUGAGUAGAGCGGCGAACGGGUGAGUAACACGUGGGCAACCUUCCUGGGAGCGGGGGAUAACCUGGGGAAACUCGGGCUAAUACCGCAUACGACCGCGGGGCUUCGGCCCUGCGGGGAAAGACGGCCUCUGCUUGCAAGCUGUCACUCCCAGAGGGGCCCGCGCCGGAUUAGCUAGUUGGUGAGGUAACGGCCCACCAAGGCGACGAUCCGUAGCCGGCCGGGGAGGGCGAUCGGACACAAUGGAACUGAGACACGGUCCAGACUCCUACGGGAGGCAGCAGUGAGGAAUCUUGCGCAAUGGGCGAAAGCCUGACGCAGCGACGCCGCGUGGAGGAUGAAGGUCUUCGGAUUGUAAACUCCUGUCAGAGGGGACGAACGCUUGCGGGCUAAUCACCGCAAGUCUGACGGUACCCUCAGAGGAAGCCACGGCUAACUCUGUGCCAGCCGCCGCGGUAAGAC
rnacentral:rRNA from 1 species